AAUGUAUCGGAACGUGCCCAGUAGUGGGGGAUAACUACUCGAAAGAGUGGCUAAUACCGCAUGAGAUCUCUGGAUGAAAGUGGGGGACCGCAAUGCCUCACGCUACUGGAGCGGCCGAUAUCAGAUUAGGUUGUUGGUGGGGUAAAGGCCUACCAAGCCUGCGAUCUGUAGCUGGUCUGAGAGGACGACCAGACACACUGGGACUGAGACACUGCCCAAACUCCUACGGGAGGCAGCAGUGGGGAAUUUUGGACAAUGGGCGCAAGCCUGAUCCAGCAAUGCCGCGUGCAGGAUGAAGGCCUUCGGGUUGUAAACUGCUUUUGUACGGAACGAAAAGGCUCUGGUUAAUACCUGGGGUCCAUGACGGUACCGUAAGAAUAAGCACCGGCUAACUACGUGCCAGCAGCCGCGGUAAUACGUAGGGUCCAAGCGUUAAUCGGAAUUACUGGGCGUAAAGCGUGCGCAGGCGGUUUUGUAAGACAGGUGUGAAAUCCCCGGGCUUAACCUGGGAACUGCACUUGUGACUGCAAGGCUAGAGUGCGUCAGAGGGAGGUGGAAUUCCGCGUGUAGCAGUGAAAUGCGUAGAGAUGCGGAGGAACACCGAUGGCGAAGGCAGCCUCCUGGGAUGACACUGACGCUCAUGCACGAAAGCGUGGGGAGCAAACAGGAUUAGAUACCCUGGUAGUCCACGCCCUAAACGAUGUCAACUAGUUGUCGGGUCUUAAUUGACUUGGUAACGCAGCUAACGCGUGAAGUUGACCGCCUGGGGAGUACGGCCGCAAGGUUAAAACUCAAAGGAAUUGACGGGGACCCGCACAAGCGGUGGAUGAUGUGGAUUAAUUCGAUGCAACGCGAAAAACCUUACCUAC
rnacentral:rRNA from 1 species